rnacentral:rRNA from 1 species
AUGGCUAGUCCUCCCAUCAUUGUUAGCACUCCCGAUAACAAAAUCCUCAAUUUUAAACAAAGGGAACGAGAAAAUUUAAAAGAUGCUUGGUAUACAAUUUGCAAUGCUCAAAAUAGAUCUACUCAAAAUCAAUCUACUGCCAUUCUCCUUCACAAUUUUUAUGUGGGUGUUACUCCUUGGAACAGAUAUGUUCUCGCUACUAUUACCAGGGGGAAUUUUUUUGGGGAGCCACAUUUUGAUUCCUACAAUGCUAUGAUAGAUUUUUUAGGCCCGCCACCUCUUUUGAUCAAUGGAAUUGGUUUAACCUUGGAAUAUGUGAUGCAAAAGAUUGACAUUAUUGAGAAUAAAAUUGCUACCGUUGAAUUGAUUGAAAAUUUGGAUAAAAAGAUUCAUAAUCAGAUUACUCAAUAUGGAUCUAAGGUAGGAGUUACUUUAAAGAAUCUUAAAGAAAAGGAACCUAUAGUUAAUGAAAAGAUAGAUCAAGAUUCUGCUAGAAUUGGUAAACUAGAGGACAUUAUUACCAACUUGGAAUCCACUUUUUCCUCCGUUAAAACUACUCAAAGUCUUCCUCCUACUAAGACUGCCAAGUUUAUUUACGUUCCUAAGAAUAAGGGUGAAUCUUCUAGUAAGGAAAAUGAAGAUCUCAAAACAAUUAGUGUUCACCCCAAUUUCCUCGAUAUUAUUAAGGAACCGUUUGCCAUGAAUGAAUUUCUUGAUUUCUUGCCUAGGAGUUUGAUCAUUGAUAAAACCAAAGAAUCUCCGGAUUAUACGUGUGCAAUCGAAGAAUUGCAUACCAAAGAUGACAAUACCUAG